rnacentral:tRNA from 1 species
GCGGGUGUAGCUCAGUGGUAGAGCACAACCUUGCCAAGGUUGGGGUCGUGGGUUCGAAUCCCAUCACCCGCU